rnacentral:rRNA from 1 species
UAGCUAGUUGGUGGGGUAAUGGCCCACCAAGGCUACGAUCAGUAGCUGGUCUGAGAGGAUGACCAGCCACAUUGGGACUGAGACACGGCCCAAACUCCUACGGGAGGCAGCAGUGGGGAAUCUUGCGCAAUGGGCGAAAGCCUGACGCAGCCAUGCCGCGUGUAUGAUGAAGGUCUUAGGAUUGUAAAAUACUUUCACCGGUGAAGAUAAUGACUGUAGCCGGAGAAGAAGCCCCGGCUAACUUCGUGCCAGCAGCCGCGGUAAUACGAAGGGGGCUAGCGUUGCUCGGAAUUACUGGGCGUAAAGGGAGCGUAGGCGGACAUUUAAGUCAGAGGUGAAAUCCCGGAGCUUAACUUCGGAACUGCCUUUGAUACUGGGUGUCCUGAGUGUGAGAGAGGUAUGUGGAACUCCGAGUGUAGAGGUGAAAUUCGUAGAUAUUGGGAAGAACACCGGUGGCGAAGGCGGCCAUCUGGACUGCAACUGACGCUGAGGCGCGAAAGCGUGGGGAGCAAACAGGAUUAGAUA